UGCCGGACGGCUGGCUUGUGGGUAAGUUAUAUUUGCAAUUUCAUACAAAGACACUUCAAAUAUUAUUUUAAAGGUGAUAUGUAUGUAUUUUCCAGAAAUGUUGCCCUAUUUUCAGUCUGGCUACAAUAGAUGCACUAUGCAUCUUGGGACCUGUAGUUUAGUUCAAUCAGCUCACUUUGUUAGGGCUUUUAAUUCUUGCCACCUGAUUCAGUUUACAGGUGAGAUGUGUUAAGUGGAUGAUUUCUUAAUGGAUCUGCACACACACAAUUUUUGACAUUUGGGGGGAGGGGAAUUCCCUCUUUUAUUGUGCCAGCAAUGUUGUUUGGCUAACAAAAGGGGUAAAGUAAGUACCCCAACAGCAAAGAAUUUGUGUGUAGAUCUGUUUGUAAAGAUUGUACUACUACACAAUGGACAUAACUACACCAUUGGAAUAGUCAACACAACAGACAACUGGAAUCAAUUACUAUAAUAUAUUUUGGUUUACAUUUUUAGGAGACGCAGGAUAUGGACUUCUGCCUUGGUUGAUGACCCCUGUGAGGUUUGCCCAAACACCUGCCCAACGUAGGUACAAUCGUGCCCAUCGGAAGACACGUAAUAUCAUUGAGCGCCUCUUUGGGGUGCUCAAAUCUCGCUUCCGAUGCCUCUCAGUCACUGGGGGAGCUCUGCUUUAUUCCCCCCAGAAGGUUUCACAAAUCAUCACUGUCUGUGCCAUGCUGCAUAAUGUGGCAAGGGAGCAUGGAUUACCUGCAGACAUUGAUGAUGACCUGGAACCUGAGAUUGAGGGGUAUGUUGCCAGACAGAGGGACAACCAACCAGAGGGAAGAAGAGUGUGUGAAAGGCUCAUCCGUGCCCACUUUUAGUUCCUGCUGAUGGUGAUGUGCUGACGUGCCCCUAGCAGUGAAUGCUUUCCUGUAACAUCUUAUGCUCUUUCUGGCCUCCUACUGUGUUAUGGUUGUGGUUCAUGUGUGUCGUACUCUACUUUAUUAUCUUGGUACUUGCCCACAGAGGAUACAGACAUGGACACUGACUGAUUGACCACGCCUCAAACUCCGUUAUUCAGCCUCUCCAUUUGCAAACUUUUCCUGACCCACUAAAUUGGACUCAACACAACCGACAGAUGUGAUGAACUGAAAGCUGUUUGGCUCAUUUGAACCUGGGUGGAGUCACCUUUCAAUAACAUAUCAGUAUGGCUUCUUCUGUUUUCUUGUUUGAAAUGACAUUACCCAUGUUACUAUUUUGGACUAGCACCUUGUCAAAAAAGAAAAACAAACACACCCAGUAAUGUUUUAGUGGCUUUACUGACACAAUCUUUGUCAAAAUCCAAAACCGUUGAACAACAAUAAAAAGACAAUAUAUAUC